rnacentral:rRNA from 1 species
UACGAAGGGGGCUAGCGUUGCUCGGAAUCACUGGGCGUAAAGCGCACGUAGGCGGCUUUCUAAGUCAGGGGUGAAAUCCUGGAGCUCAACUCCAGAACUGCCUUUGAUACUGGAGAGCUCGAGUCCGGAAGAGGUGAGUGGAACUGCGAGUGUAGAGGUGAAAUUCGUAGAUAUUCGCAAGAACACCAGUGGCGGAGGCGGCUCACUGGUCCGGUACUGACGCUGAGGUGCGAAAGCGUGGGGAGCAAACAGG